rnacentral:rRNA from 1 species
AUUGCCCCAGUAACGGCGAGUGAAGCGGCAACAGCUCAAAUUUGAAAUCUGGCCUCACGGCCCGAGUUGUAAUUUGCAGAGGAUGCUUUGGGUGAGGCGCCGCCUGAGUUCCCUGGAACGGGACGCCACAGAGGGUGAGAGCCCCGUCUGGCUGGACGCCGAGCCUGUGUAAAGCUCCUUCGACGAGUCGAGUAGUUUGGGAAUGCUGCUCUAAAUGGGAGGUAUAUGUCUUCUAAAGCUAAAUAUUGGCCAGAGACCGAUAGCGCACAAGUAGAGUGAUCGAAAGAUGAAAAGCACUUUGAAAAGAGGGUUAAACAGCACGUGAAAUUGUUGAAAGGGAAGCGCUCGUGACCAGACUUGGGCUUGGCGGAUCAUCCGGCGUUCUCGCCGGUGCACUUCGCCUCGCCCAGGCCAGCAUCAGUUCGCGCCGGGGGAUAAAGGCUUCGGGAAUGUGGCUCCUCCGGGAGUGUUAUAGCCCGCUGCGCAAUACCCUGGUGCGGACUGAGGUUCGCGCAUCUGCAAGGAUGCUGGCGUAAUGGUCAUCAGCGACCCGUCUUGAAACACGGACCAAGGAGUCGUCCUCGUAUGCGAGUGUUCGGGUGUCAAACCCCUACGCGUAAUGAAAGUGAACGCAGGUGAGAGCUUCGGCGCAUCAUCGACCGAUCCUGAUGUUCUCGGAUGGAUUUGAGUAAGAGCAUGCGGGGCCGGACCCGAAAGAAGGUGAACUAUGCCUGUGUAGGGUGAAGCCAGAGGAAACUCUGGUGGAGGCUCGCAGCGGUUCUGACGUGCAAAUCGAUCGUCAAACAUGGGCAUGGGGGCGAAAGACUAAUCGAACCUUCUAGUAGCUGGUUUCCGCCGAAGUUUCCCUCAGGAUAGCAGUGUUGAUCUCAGUUUUAUGAGGUAAAGCGAAUGAUUAGGGACUCGGGGGCGCUAUUUUGCCUUCAUCCAUUCUCAAACUUUAAAUAUGUAAGAAGCUCUUGUUACUUAAUUGAACGUGGGCAUUCGAAUGUAGCAACACUAGUGGGCCAUUUUUGGUAAGCAGAACUGGCGAUGCGGGAUGAACCGAACGCGAGGUUAAGGUGCCAGAGUAGACGCUCAUCAGACACCACAAAAGGUGUUAGUACAUCUUGACAGCAGGACGGUGGCCAUGGAAGUCGGAAUCCGCUAAGGACUGUGUAACAACUCACCUGCCGAAUGUACUAGCCCUGAAAAUGGAUGGCGCUCAAGCGUCUCACCCAUACCUCGCCCUCAGGGUAGAAACGAUGCCCUGAGGAGUAGGCGGACGUGGAGGUCGUGACGAAGCCUAGGGCGUGAGCCCGGGUCGAACGGCCUCUAGUGCAGAUCUUGGUGGUAGUA